rnacentral:tRNA from 1 species
GGGUCUAUAUUUCAACGGCAGAAUAGACGGCUCCAGACCGUCAGAUGGGGGUUCGAUUCCUCCUAGGCCCA